UCCCAGAAGGCCCACAAGGCCCCUCCCACUGAGCACCCCCAAAGAUAAGGCCUCUGCCGACUCCCAACCUUCCCGGUUCUGGCCUGCUCCUGAGCUGCGCAUCCAGGGCGCACACAGUACGUGCCCUUUGGUGUCUGGUUUCUCUUGCUCAGGGUUGUGUUGCUGAGGUUCCGCUCCUCCCUCGGGAGUCAGGGGCCGCUCAUCCUGCUGGGAGCUUGCCCUUGUGUGACUCUCUCACCAUUUAUUCACCCAUUUUGCUGUUGAUGGACACUGGGGCAGGUGCCGGCUCCUGGCUGUCCUGAAGAGCGCCUCUGUGCACACUGCAUCCUGGGGGCUUGUGGAGGACAGGGACCGUGGAGCCCAGGUGUGUGUGUCUGCUCAGCUUUGAAGAUCCAGGAAGUGUUACUUUUUCAUUGAACAUUUCAGCAAAAGUGAAUUUUCAAGGAGUCCAGUGACUUCAUGCUGUCACCUCCCGCAGGCCAGAGAUGCUGCCCUUGAGGACAGGCAGCAGCCCUGGAUGACCGUGGCCAGGGCCCAGAGGCUGGGAGCUAAGGAGAAGGUAGAUGUGGCUCCCAGGACCCACCCUGGAGCGCGCCUCCCCUGGUGGGAAAGCCCAGUCUCCACCUGGGGCAUGUCCAUCCCUGGCCCCAGAGGCUCAUGGGAAAUCCUGGCACUGCAGAAAGCAAAGCCCAGGGUUCUCCAAUGCCCUCAUGUAGCCCCUGCUCCACUUGGCGGGCUUUGGGGCCAGGGGCUCUCCAGGCCUCCUCCCUGCCC